rnacentral:pre_miRNA from 1 species
UCUUGUGGCUUCCAUGCAGAAGUGCACGGAAACAGCUAUUUGCUAUUGAAAAGUUGGCUGUUACUGUUCUUCUGAUGGAUGCUGCUAGA